AUUAAUAUCUUUUAAUUCAUAAAACUAGAUAACAUUUGUCAAGAAUGAUACAAGCCGCUCAAAUGGCUACAGACUGACCACACAGUCCAACCUAGCCCAGGACAAAGGCCACGCGCGGCUCCCUUUGGUCAACGCACGUGGCAAACCCUUGCUUACAAACGGCUCAGCAAGGCGCAGGCGCCGUUGGUCCUGCCCGCCCCCAGAGGCGGUGCUUAGCACAGGCCUAGGGCGCAUGCGCUAAGGUUUGUCUCAACGCUCCGUCGCGGCGGUAGCGACGAAGAAUUCGUUUGGGCAGCCGCGUGGUUCUGGAUAGUUUGUAGAGGAUGUUCCACGAGGAAGUUCCCAACUCCACUCACCCUCAGGAGCAAGACUGUUUACCAAGUCAGCAUGCCAAUGCUUACAAAGACAUGCCAGUUGGGCAGGAGAAUGGUGGGGUCUCAGAGGCCGGGGAGUGCCUCUCCUCUACUUCCUGUGAGUAUGGGCCAUCCACAUCUGCUGAAGCUUGUGUGUUGGCAGCCACAAGGCGUGGGCCGACCCUGCUACACAUUGAUCGGCAUCAGAUCCCUGCAGUUGAGCCCAGUGCUCAGGCCCUGGAGCUGCAGGGCCUGGGUGUGGACGUCUAUGACCAGGCUGUCCUGGAACAAGGCGUGCUUCAGCAGGUGGACAGUGCGAUGCAUGAGGCCAGCUGUGUGGCCCAGCUUGCUGAUGCGGAGAAGGAGUAUCAGUCAGUCCUGGAUGACCUCAUGUCAUGUACAACAUCCCUGAGGCAAAUCAAUAAAAUUAUAGAGCAACUUAGCCCUCAAGCUGCCAGCAACAGAGACAUCAACAGGAAACUAGAUUCCGUGAAGCGACAGAAGUAUAACAAGGAACAACAGCUAAAGAAGAUAACUGCAAAACAGAAACGUCUCCAGGCCAUUCUCGGAGGGGCUGGGGUCCAAGUGGAACUGGAUCAUGCCAGCCUAGAGGAGGACGAUGCAGAGCCAGGGCCAUCAUGUCUUGGCAGUAUGCUCAUGCCUGCCCAGGAGACCGCCUGGGAGGAGCUUAUCCGCACUGGCCAGAUGACACCGUUUGGUACCCCAGCCCCUCAGAAACAGGAGAAAAAGCCCAGAAAAAUAAUGCUGAAUGAAGCAUCAGGCUUUGAAAAAUAUUUGGCAGAGCAAGCACAACUUUCGUUUGAAAGGAAGAAACAAGCUGCUACUAAAAGAACAGCUAAAAAAGCUAUAGUCAUAUCCGAGUCAAGCCGAGCAGCAAUUGAAACCAAGGCAGACCAGAGAAGCCAAGUGCUCUCUCAGACAGACAAGCGCCUGAAGAAGCACAGCAGGAAACUCCAGAGGAGGGCGCUGCAGUUCCAGGGCAAAGUGGGAUUGCCGAGCGGGAAGAAACCUUUGGAGCCUGAGGUGAGGCCAGAGGCCGAGGGAGACACUGAGGGUGAGGAGUCUGGGUCCUCUCCCACCGAUGGGGAGGAGGAGGAAGAACAAGAGGAGGAGGAAGGGGUAGCCAGCCUGUCUUCUGAUGACGUUAGCUAUGAGCUGAAGCCUCUUCGGAAGAGGCAGAAAUACCAGAAGAAAGUCCCAGUUCAGGAGAUCGACGAUGACUUCUUUCCAAGUUCUGAGGAGGAAGAUGAAGCUAUGGAAGGAAGAGGAGGAGGCCGAAAGGUAGCCAGGCGCCAAGACGAUGGAGAUGAGGAUUAUUAUAAGCAGCGGUUAAGGAGGUGGAACAGGCUGAGGCUGCAGGACAAAGAGAAACGCCUGAAGCUUGAAGAUGAUUCUGAGGAGAGCGAUGCCGAAUUUGACGAAGGUUUCAAAGUGCCGGGUUUUCUGUUCAAAAAGCUCUUUAAGUAUCAGCAGACAGGUGUUAGGUGGCUGUGGGAAUUGCACUGCCAGCAGGCAGGAGGAAUUCUGGGAGACGAAAUGGGAUUGGGCAAGACCAUCCAGAUAAUUGCCUUCUUGGCAGGUCUGAGCUACAGCAAGAUCAGGACUCGCGGUUCAAAUUACAGGUUCGAGGGACUAGGCCCCACUAUAAUUGUCUGCCCAACGACAGUGAUGCAUCAGUGGGUGAAGGAAUUCCACACGUGGUGGCCUCCAUUCAGAGUGGCAGUUCUGCAUGAAACAGGUUCCUACACCCACAAAAAGGAGAGGCUGAUUCGAGAUAUUGUUUAUUGUCAUGGAGUUUUGAUAACUUCAUAUUCAUACAUCCGACUGAUGCAAGAUGACAUUAGCAGACAUGACUGGCACUACGUCAUCUUAGAUGAAGGACACAAAAUUCGAAAUCCAAAUGCUGCAGUCACCCUUGCUUGCAAACAGUUCCGGACACCUCAUCGGAUUAUCUUGUCUGGCUCACCGAUGCAGAAUAACCUCCGAGAGCUGUGGUCACUCUUCGACUUCAUCUUCCCAGGAAAGCUGGGCACAUUGCCUGUGUUUAUGGAGCAGUUCUCUGUCCCCAUCACCAUGGGAGGCUAUUCCAAUGCUUCCCCAGUACAGGUUAAAACUGCUUAUAAGUGUGCAUGUGUCUUAAGAGACACGAUAAACCCGUACUUACUGCGGAGAAUGAAAUCAGAUGUCAAGAUGAGCCUUUCGUUGCCAGAUAAAAAUGAGCAGGUCUUAUUUUGCCGUCUAACUGAUGAGCAGCAUAAAGUCUACCAGAAUUUCAUUGAUUCUAAAGCAGUCUACAGGAUUCUCAAUGGAGAAAAUCAGAUUUUCUCUGGACUUGUAGCGCUGAGGAAGAUCUGCAACCACCCUGACCUCUUUUCUGGCGGCCCCAAGAACGCCAGUGGUCCUCCAGAGGAUGAGCUGGAAGAAGAGCAGUUUGGACACUGGAGACGCUCUGGGAAAAUGAUUGUUGUUGAGUCUUUGCUGAAAAUAUGGCACAGGCAGGGUCAGCGGGUGCUGCUGUUUUCCCAGUCCAGGCAGAUGCUACACAUACUGGAAGUGUUCCUGAGAGCCCAUAAGUAUUCCUAUCUCAAGAUGGAUGGGACCACCACCAUAGCGUCAAGACAGCCGCUGAUUACAAAAUACAAUGAGGACACGUCCAUCUUUGUCUUUCUUCUGACCACACGGGUGGGUGGCUUAGGAGUGAACCUGACCGGUGCCAACAGAGUCAUCAUCUACGACCCAGACUGGAAUCCAAGCACCGACACACAGGCCCGGGAGCGAGCAUGGAGGAUAGGUCAGAAGAAGCAGGUGACUGUCUACAGGCUUCUGACGGCUGGCACCAUUGAGGAAAAGAUCUACCACCGACAAAUCUUCAAGCAAUUUUUGACAAACAGAGUGCUAAAAGACCCAAAACAAAGGCGCUUUUUCAAAUCCAACGAUCUCUAUGAGCUGUUCACUCUGACCAGUCCUGACGCCUCCCAGGGCACUGAGACAAGUGCUAUUUUUGCAGGAACGGGCUCCAGUAUUCAGACACCCAAAUGCCAGUUAAAAAAAAGGACUUCCACAGUCCUGGGAACAGAUCCCAAAUGCAAGAAGCCCCCUGUUUCUGACACACCUGCAAAUGCUGCCACCCUGAUUGGAGAAAAACCUAAGGCGGCGGGAGCUACAGGAAGAAGUGUCACUUCUGGAGAAAGUGGUCCUUUCAAAGGCGACCAUGACACAAAUGGGAACAGAGCUAGCAGUGUUGCUUUUGGAGAAGAGACAGAUGCAGGGUCCACACUGGAGCAUCUCUCAGUGAUGAGUGGAGAUGGGAAGCAUUCAGAUUCUCCAACAGUUGACCACACAUCCAGGCCACCAGUGGAGGCAAGCACCAGUGAGAAGCAGGGUUCUUCCUAUGCAGGGGCGCGCUGCCAGGCUCAGACAGAACCUGUUCCCAUGAGUGAACAAAUGGAAGGUCAGUUUUCUAAGUACAAAUCCAAAAGGAAGCAUGAUGCAUCUGAGGAAGAGACCACAGAGAAACGUCCACAGCCCAAGCAAAAGGCCAAGAACUCCAAGCAUUGCAGAGAUGCUAAGUUUGAGGGAACUCGAGUCCCGCACCUGGUGAAGAAAAGACGGUACCGCCAGCAAACCAGUGAGCAGGAGGGCGGAGCCAAGGACCGGAGCAGCGAUGAUUAUGUGUUGGAAAAGCUUUUCAAAAAAUCAGAACCAUACGAUUCCUGUAAGGAUGGACCAGCGUUUACUCUCCCACAGUGCAGCAGCUGGAAUAUGACACAGUGUGCAUGUGAGGCAGUAGUGCCAAGCGGCCACCCAAAGACAGUGAUCUCAGAUAGGAGACAGGGCUGUCUGGGAGAGGGGUGAGGCCCCACCCAAAAGGUCUUACACAUCAAUCCUCAAGCUGGGGCCUGAGUUAUUAGUCACAAAAUAGAAGUGCACCAAAGAAGUAUUCAUCGUGUCAGCAACCUUACAGCAACGGUUGGUUGGCUGCAAUUUUGCUUCUCAGCAGGAGAGGUCGCAGUCAGGAUUGGGAGGAUGGGUGAUCCGGGAGUUCCUUCCUCUUCAGUUGUUCCCUAAAUUCUCUUUCUGUCUGUCCUGACUCCGACAGUCAUCUUCGGUUAAUUUUCAUUUAUUUUAUUAGUGAAAUUGAAUAAUAUAUAUAUAUCCAUUCUUUUUGUUAUUAGGCGAAUUGUUUUUGUGUGUGGAGUUUCCCCAUUGUUGUACCCUUUACCUGCUGUGUAACGAGAAGGUUAUAGGUUUAGUUUAUAUUUCAUUCUCUCCUGGGUUGUUUACUGCUUUGUUUUGUUGUUGAUUCUCUACAGUCCUUUAGCUUUGUAUCCAUUACAACUUCAAAAGAGAGGGGACUGGAGCUGUAUUGAUCAAUGGCAGAAUUCUUGUCUAUAAUGCAUGAAGCCUUGGGUCCUGUCUCUAGCCCAGAAAACCAAAGAAAGGUGGGAGGGAGGGAAAGGAAGGGGAAUAAAGAAAGGAAGACACAAACUAAGGAAAGCUGUGCUACCUUUCGUCACACGGUGAUUCUCUGUUGCUAUUAAUUUACUAGCCAGUGAUGCUAGCAGACUGCUCUCAGUCGUGACGGUAGAAAUGAGUGUUUCCUCAUUAAGAGUCUGGAGCUGGGGUAAAGCACGUGUUUUAUUAGGGAAAUCCCUGGUUUGGGGAUGGCUUUUCAGGUAUGGGUAAUGAAGUUUGUCAAAGGUGUUUUCACUAUAGAGACAGCAGUGGUUGAUAUUGAAAAGAGCACCACAAAGCUUAUUAAUCCAUUAUUAGAUAAUGGCUUAGUUAACAUUAACCAACCCUGAAUUCCCAUGACUCUUACCUGUAUCAUCUGUAAUCCCUUUUUGCUAUUGGUUUCUAUUCGAAUUGCCACAAAGGUGUACAAAUAUUCUUAAUAGUGAUUGGCUUUUUUCCAGAGAUAGCUUCUCUUUUGACUUUAUUCCAUAAAUUUUUCUUCUUCUUAACAUUGAGUUGUUCAUCUUGCUACUUAUCUAGUAAUCCAGGAUUCUUAUUUAUUAACAGGGAUCUGUAGUUGAUCUAGUCAGUACUUCAUUAUUUUAUUUUAUUUUAUUUUUUUAGGUAUUUUCUUCAUUUACAUUUCCAGUGCUAUCUCAAAAGUCCCCCAUACCCUCCCCCCCACUCCCCUACCCACCCCAUUAUUUUAUUUUAUUUUAUUUUAUUAUUUUCUUCUAAUGCUUUUGUUUUUGUUAUAUUUUGGUGAGGUUUUGGAAGCAUAAUUAUUUCCUUGUAUUUAUGUCUAGUUAGAAAUUUAUUUUUAUCCUCACUUUAGUUUAAUGUUAUUAUUUGUUUGUCUAUCUUUGGGUGUAUCAUUGUGUGUCCCAUGUUGAGUGUCCCAUCCUUCUGCAGUAGCCUCUCGGGAGCUGGGAUUACAGGCCCGCCACAUCGUGCAUUGCUCUUCCUUUUUAUUGAUGCAGAUACUCAGGGAAGUGAACUUUCCACCGACUGUUCUAUUAAGUGUAUUCUAGGAACAGUCCCAUGAAGGUUAAUUUGCUUGAAAUUCUUAUUUCUGCUUUAUAUUUUCACUUUGAAGGGUUUAUUAAUAUUUUAAUUUUCUCACAAUAUAGCUAGGAAGAGAUUAAAAGUUAAGACAAGGAUAAUUUAUAACUGUUCCUUGUAGGGUAGUAUCAAGUGUGGACAGAAAGUAUUUUGUGAGGUUCUCGAGUCACUGCUACCACCCAAAAAAUAGCAGCUAAAAGUGUGAAACAAGUAUUACACUGUGUAGUAUUUAUUUUAGUGUGUAAUAUUACUGUGUGUAUUUCAGUGUAUAGUAUUACUGUACAUAGUAUGACAGUGUGUGGUAUUCUAGUACAUAGUAUUACUGUGUGCAGUAUUUCAGUGCACAGUGUUACAGUGUGUAGUAUUAUAAUGUGUGGUAUGACAGUGUGUAGUAUUAUAAUGUGUGGUAUGACAGUGUGUAGUAUUAUAAUGUGUGGUAUGACAGUGUGUAGUAUUUCAGUGCAGAGGAAUUACUGUGCAUUGUAUUAUAACGCGUAGUAUUACUGUGUGUAGUAUUACAGUAUGUAGUAUCCUGGUCAUUCUUUCCUUACUCUUGUUAGUGGGCGUGCACAGCGUCGUGAGGCAUGAUGCCAUCAUAGAUGGGUCCAGUCCAGAUUAUGUGCUGGUGGAAGCAGAAGCCAACCGAGUGGCUCAGGACGCCUUGAAAGCUCUGAGGCUCUCUCGUCAGCAAUGCCUGGGGGCAGCAUCUGGUGUUCCCACCUGGACUGGCCACAGGGGGAUUUCUGGUGCACCAACAGGAGUAAAGAAUAGGUUCGGUCAGAAAAGGGACUCCAGCCUCCCUGUGCAGCAUCCUUCAUCACUAACAGAAAAGACUCAGAACAACAUGAAAAAGGAGGGAAAAGCUCACACCCCUGAGCACUUCAGUGGCAAAGAAGAUGGAGCAUCUGUGUCUGGAGCGCCCAGUUCCUCCUCCCUCUUGGCCAGAAUGCGAGCAAGAAACCACAUGAUUUUGCCGGAGCGCUUAGAGAGUGACAGUGAACAUCUUGCUGAGGCUGCUGCCGUGCCUCCCUGCGGCACCGAACACGACGACCUUCUGGUGGACAUGAGGAACUUCAUUGCUUUCCAGGCCCAGGUGGAUGGCCAGGCCAGCACUCAGGAAAUCCUGCAGGAGUUUGAGUCCAAGCUGUCCGUGGCACAGUCCUGUGUCUUCCGAGAACUGCUGAGAAAUCUGUGCAAUUUCCAUAGAACUCCUGGUGGGGAAGGGAUUUGGAAGCUGAAGCCAGAAUACUGCUAACAGUGAUGCUCUCUAAACUCUUUCAGAUGGAAAGCUUGGCUCCCCGAGCCUGUGAUUAGUGUUCGUGGGGUGUGUGUGUGUGUGUGUGUGUGUGUGUGCGCGCGCGCGCGCGCGCGUGUGCAUGAGUGACUGUACUUGGUAUUUACUAUGUCAUCUACCUCAAGACUAAAACUUGAAGAAGAAAAUAAUUGGAGGGUUUUUGUUUUGUUUGUUUGGUGGCACUGUGAAUUAAGUUAUAAAACCAGGGACCUAACAGUUGUUUAAUGGAGCAAAUACGUUACUUAACCCAAAAGAUGUUGUCAGGGAGCACACAGUAUUUAAGAAUACAUCUCGGUUCUUCUUACUGGUGCUGGGCAUAUGUCUUCUCUUUAUCCACCCCAUCUUAUAAGUCACUUCACAGUAUCCGAUAAUCUUGGUACCUUGAUACAGCAUGGGUUUUCUGACCCACUGGUUACAUACAGAAAGACACUUGCUAUCUGUCAAAUCAUUAAUUACAUAUAAAUAAUUCUUCAUAGCACUUUUAGAUUAGCAGGCUUGGGUUUUGUUGUUUGUUUGUUUGUUUGUUUUAAAUGUUGCUGAAGACAGACUCUGGUGCCUUGCACAUGCUCAGUAUGUGCUUUACCACCAAGUUCCUUCCCAGUUCAUACAUACGUGUCAAAGUAGGAAGUCUGGUUUUUCUUCUCUGUCAUCAUUAUCUAAAGAUGGCGGAUGGGGUUUGUUUAAAUAGGUCAGUCAGUUCUAAACUUUAGUACUUGGCUCAGAAGGAAGUCACAACACCCGUUCGUUUAUUUAUUUUUUGUUCCAGUGAUCAGCCUACAGGAAAUGCUAUUGCCCUUGUCCUUAGGCUGACUACCAACCUGACUCACUAACAUGAAACAUUUGUGCUGUGCCUGUGAUGUCUGAGAUCUAAGUUAUACUGAGCUAGAGAAUGUCGUAUAGACACUUUUUUUGUUUUUUUUUUUCGAGACAGGGUUUCUCUGUAUAGUCCAGGCUGUCCUGGAACUCACUUUGUAGACCAGGCUGGCCUCAAACUCAGAAAUCCGCCUGCCUCUGCCUCCCGAGUGCUGGGACUAAAGGCGUGCGCCACCACGCCCGGCUGUAUAGACAGUCUUUAACUGUCGAAAGUUACCUACCACGCGGUCAGGAAGGGAUCCGUGUUCCACCUCUGCCACUGACCUGCCCAGCCUGGGAAGGUUGAAUCUGUAAACAUGGUUAUCCAGCCAAGCUGGGAGAAGCUUAGAGACCAGUUCUCCAGGUUAAAGUACUUUUUAACAAUACACACCUUUAUACAUUGAGCUGCAAUCUGAUUUCUUUGAACUUUAAAUACUUUGUGCGGUAUAAAUAGAUUUAAUGUAUUAAACAUAUUAAAUAAUUACAAAUAAAAGAUUUAAAAAUACUGGUUUUUCCUGUAUUGUCACUGUUAGAAAUCCUUCAAGCACUCCUGCCUCCCUAUCCUGUGCAUUCCAGAGCUCUGUGCAGUUGCCCAGGCAUUGGCAUGGCUCCUGGCAUGGGUUACUCCUCCUCUGUGUUUCCCCUGGACUCAUGACUGCCCAGCUGAAAAUUGUUUCUCAGCCUCCCUGCAGGUGUGGCCCCAUGACAGUUCCAGGCAGUGAGAUGGAAGACUUCUAGCUUGAAGCUUACACAGAGGCAUGGUGUGCAUGCCCCUGAAAGUUCCCUGGCUUGCUGGUCAGGAUGUCUGUGAGAGCCUCAGGCGUCUCCUGGCAUUUCAGGAGAGGGUGGAUGGUCUACUAGUCAAGAACAGCUAUCUUUGACCAGAUACUUUGGAGUGAAAUAAAUGAAGUGUUAUUUAAUACUGUUUUAACAUCUAAUUGGUGUAAUGUAUGUAACACACUAAUGCUGUAAGUUUCCUGUGUAUCUCACGUUCGCACUAUGCAGGUCUUUUCACUUAUGUACCUCUGCUUUCGCUGACCUGCUGAUCUCCAAACCCAUCACAGGCUCACUUUCCUCAGGCUUGCCCACAGCAACUAGUUUCCAUCUUGGUACAUUGUUUUAAAAUUAGUCUUGUUUCAUAAAAUAACCUUACUUUAAUUUGAAUUUCCCUGAUUUAACACCAGACAGAAUACCAUAUUCACCUAGUUUCCUCAGUAUAAAUGAAAGACAGUUAUGAAAGAGGCAAGAACAAAAAGCCAUUCUGGGCUAGUCCAUCAUCCGCCACCACUCCAAAUGCCAGCUUCGACUCAUCGUAGUGCACUGCAAGGCUGACGUCAGACCCCGUGUCUGUCUGUUCCCUCACACUCUGCACGCUGACGUUUGUCACCUGUGGGAAAGUCCAUUUUCCUUUUUAUCUCGUCCUCUGUGUCUUAUUUUUGUGCAUUUCCUGUUCCAAGCAAAUGAUAGAAUUAGCUUAUUAGAUUCCACUGAAGUGUUGCUCUUUUGGCCGGGAUUGCAUUAGUUUGCCCAUUAAUUGGAAGAUAAUAGACUUCUUUAUAAUUAAUAUAAUUUUCCCAUUAGUAUUAUGAGAGGCCUAAUUUUAUUGCUUGGGUAACAUUCCUCAUAAGGGUUCAGUUUUAUAUUAGCUUCGUUCUAGAUGUUUUACAGAAUUUUUGUUUAGGAUUUUAAAGGAUCUUUUACUUUCACAUAAAAAAAAAAGUGGAGAUGCUUGACUCAUUCCUGUGUCACCUCUGUGUUGCUUAUCACUGGAAGCGUUUACAUUCAAAGCUGCUACAUUCAGUUUUUUAAUAUCCUAUGGUCAUGAUGCAAUCUUGUGAAUGGCCUUGUUAGUUACAAUGUGGUUUGGAUGGGAAGUGUCCCACCUGUAGACUCACGUCUUUGAACAUGUGGUUCCUAGCUCAUGAUGCCCUUUUGGACCUCCUGAUGGCUGCUAUGACAGACUGUGUCACCUGUAAUGUGAGCCAAAAAUGAACCCUUCUUUCCUUAGGUUCUUUUGUCUGGGUAUUUUGUCAGCAAUAAGGUAAAUGACUAAAUGUAAUUAUACAGAAAUAGAUAUUUUCCUAACAUUUGAAAACUGUAGAUCAUUCUCUCCUUCCUGAUUUAUACAUUUAUAAAGCCACCAAUCCACCAUUAUGUCCCAUGUCCAUAUAAUCAUGGAAAUGUGCCUGAACUCUAUAUUUUGUUAACUUUGUCCAUUCAUCUUUACCAAUAAACCAUUUUUAAUCAUGUAGGUUUCUAAUUGACUGUCAAAAAUUGUAGAGCAACUCUUGGAUCUUUGUUAUAUCUUGGAUAUAUUAGAUCAUCUUGUCACAUUGGGAUUUUGUGACUACAAUGAAUGAGCAGACUUGUUGAGGAUUAUUUAUGAUGCUGGGUCCCGUGCAUCUCUGAAUAAGCCAUAGCUAUGUAUUUUUAUUACAUGUUUAUAAAGAAAUAAUUGUGCUAUAUCUCGCAUUUUGUAAUAGACAACUUACGUAUGCAUAGAUAGAAAAUGUGUAUCAUGCAAGCAAUUCUAUCAAAUCUUGGUGAGAACAGUGAGUCUGAUGUACAACUUACGCUUAGUCCCAACCUUGAUUUUGUACCUGUAGUAAAGGACACCUUCUGAAAACCCACGUGUUCUCAUUUAUACAGGCUCGUCUCCUGCUUCUCUCUACGUUGGCUUUGCUAACUGAUGUUAUAUGUAUCAUCUAGCAACUUUGCUGAACUUGCACUCUGAUCUGUAAAUUGUCCUAUAAUACUUGGAUCAGCUGUAAUAGUAACGAUUGUGUUUCACGUGUUCCAAUAUGCACACGCUCUGAUACGGAGUAGAAAUGAUUACAGGUGGCAUAGUACUUCGCCAUCUCUCUUUCCUGCCAUCGAGGAGAAGCUCUAACACCUACAGUUGCUGUUUCCUAAUAGAUGGCUUAGUUGGGUUAAGGGAAUAUUCUUUCCAGUUUUAAAUCCACUGCUGGAUUUCAUUAAAUGUUUCUCCUGCUUUUA